rnacentral:rRNA from 1 species
GACGUAGGAUGCGAGCGUUGUUCGGAAUUAUUGGGCGUAAAGCGUGCGUAGGCGGUCAUUCAAGUCUGGUGUUAAAGCUAGAGGCUCAACCUCUGUGAUGCACUGGAAACUGGAUGACUUGAGUGCGGUAGGGGAAGGUGGAAUUCCGAGUGUAGCGGUGAAAUGCGUAGAUAUUCGGAAGAACACCGGUGGCGAAGGCGACCUUCUGGGCCGCAACUGACGCGUGAG